GACGAACGCUGGCGGCGUGCUUAACACAUGCAAGUCGAACGGUGAAGCGCCUUCCUUUUUGGCGGGUGUGGAUGAGUGGCGAACGGGUGAGUAACACGUGAGUAACCUGCCCCCUUCUGCUGGAUAACCGCAGGAAAGUGUGGCUAAUACGGGAUAUUUUGGGUCUGUCGCAUGAUGGGUCUGGGAAAGAUAUUGUUUCGGUGGGAGAUGGGCACGCGGCCUAUCAGCUUGUUGGUGGGGUGGUUGCCUACCAAGGCUGGGACGGGUAGCCGGCCUGGGAGGGUGGCCGGUCUCGCCGGGGCGGAGGCUCGGCCCAGCCUGGUCUGGGACGCGGCCGUGGGUACUACGGGACGCUGCGGGCGGGCCUGAUGCAGCGUCGCCGCGUGAGUGAUGGAGCCCUUCCGGUUGUGAGCUGCUUUCGCCAGUGAAGCAGGCCUGUCUUGUUUGUGGGUGUAUUGACGGUAGCUGGAUAAGAAGCGCCGGCUAACUACGUG
rnacentral:rRNA from 1 species